UUGUCGCAGAGGGUGAGAAUCCGAGUACGUGGAUCGGUCGCCACGGCCGUGUAAAGCUCUUUCCCCGAGUCGAGUUUUUUGUGAGCGCAGCUCAAAAAUGACCCAUACAUUUCAUCUAAAGCUAAAUUCUGCCCAGAGUCCGAUAGCGCCCAUGUAGAGUGAUCGAAAGAUGAAAAGCACUUUGGAAAGACAGUCAUCCAGUACGUGAGAUUGCAUAAGCAUAGCUCUUGCAUACUGACUUGCCCGCGGGUGAUCAGCCUGUACUCUUUCCGGCCCACUCCCCCGUGGUCAGGCCAGCAUCGGUUCGGGCGGCUGGAUAAAGUCCACUGGAAUGUAGCUCCCCUCGGGGAGUGUUAUAGCCAGAGGUGCAAUGCAGCCCGCCGGGACCGAGGACCGCGCUUCGGCUAGGAUGCUGGCGUAAUGGUUGCAAGCGACCCGUCUUGAAACACGGACCAAGGAGUCUAACAUCUAUGCGAGUGUUUGGGUGUCAAACCCAUGCGCGUAAUGAAAGUGAACGGAGGUGGGAACCCUCAAGGGUGCACCAUCGACCGAUCCUGAUGUCUUCGGAUGGAUUUGAGUAAGAGCAUAGCUGUUGGGACCCGAAACUAUGCCUGAAUAGGGUGAAGCCAGAGGAAAUCGCAGCGGUUCUGACGUGCAAAU
rnacentral:rRNA from 1 species